CCUACGGGAGGCAGCAGUGAGGAAUAUUGGUCAAUGGUCGGGAGACUGAACCAGCCAAGCCGCGUGAGGGAGGAAGGUACAGAGUAUCGUAAACCUCUUUUGUCAGGGAACAAAGGCGGGGACGUGUCCCCGGAUGAGUGUACCUGACGAAAAAUCAUCGGCUAACUCCGUGCCAGCAGCCGCGGGAAUACGGAGGAUGCGAGCGUGGUCCGGAUUUAUUGGGUGUAAAGGGUGCGCAGGCGGUCUGUUAAGUCAGCGGUCAAAGCCCGGGGCUCAACCCCGGCCCGCCGUUGAAACUGGCAGUCGCGAGUUGGAGAGCAGGAUGCGGAAUGCGCGGUGUAGCGGUGAAAUGCAUAGAUAUCGCGCAGAACUCCGAUUGCGAAGGCAGCAUGCCGGCUCCACACUGACGCUGAGGCACGAAAGCGUGGGUAUCGAACAGGAUUAGAUACCCCAGUAGUC
rnacentral:rRNA from 1 species